UUGGAUGGCCAGAAUCCAGAAACUGAAUGGC
rnacentral:piRNA from 1 species